rnacentral:rRNA from 1 species
CAUGCAAGUCGAGGGGCAGCGGGGUAGCAAUACCGCCGGCGACCGGCAAACGGGUGCGGAACACGUACGCAACCUUCCCGAAACAGGUGAAUAGCCCUCCGAAAGGAGGAUUAAUACACCGUGAGAUACAGAGAUGGCAUCAUCUUUAUAUUAUAGAUCGCAAGAUCGGUUUUGGAUGGGCGUGCGCCUGAUUAGGUAGUUGGUGAGGUAACGGCUCACCAAGCCUUCGAUCAGUAACUGGUGUGAGAGCACGACCAGUCACACGGGCACUGAGACACGGGCCCGACUCCUACGGGAGGCAGCAGUAAGGAAUAUUGGUCAAUGGACGCAAGUCUGAACCAGCCAUGCCGCGUGAAGGAUGAAGGCCCUCUGGGUUGUAAACUUCUUUUAUCUGGGACGAAAAAAGGGCUUUUUAGCUCACUUGACGGUACCAGGGGAAUAAGCACCGGCUAACUCCGUGCCAGCAGCCGCGGUAAUACGGAGGGUGCAAGCGUUAUCCGGAUUUACUGGGUUUAAAGGGUGCGUAGGUGGGUAAGUAAGUCAGUGGUGAAAUCUUCAAGCUUAACUUGGAGACUGCCAUUGAUACUAUUUAUCUUGAAUACUUUGGAGGUAAGCGGAAUAUGUCAUGUAGCGGUGAAAUGCUUAGAUAUGACAUAGAACACCAAUUGCGAAGGCAGCUUACUACACAGUUAUUGACACUGAGGCACGAAAGCGUGGGGAUCAAACAGGAUUAGAUACCCUGGUAGUCCACGCCCUAAACGAUGGAUACUCGACAUUAGCGAUACACGGUUAGUGUCUGA